rnacentral:lncRNA from 1 species
AAAAAUUCUUUUUAAAACGGAUAUAAUUUCUAGAAAUCGAUCUCUACUUUUAAGACAAGUGAACUUUGUCAUGAAUUCAGCAAAUGAAAAUUUAUGAUUGGAAAUGAUGGCUCCAGGAAAUAUAAAUUGACAAGUGUAAAAGAUGUUGGUUCCUGUGUAGAGUUGAUAAGGAUAUAAUGAUCUGAAGGACGUUGCUGUGUUAGAUUUCUUUGCAUUAACUAGUAAAAGGGUGUCGGGUUAAUGUUUACCUGGACUUAACUAAAAUGUUUCGUUUGAGAUCAAAAUCUUUUGUUGAAAGAAAAAGAAAAAGCAGCACCAAUUCGGCAAACUCACUUGUACUCAGACUAUCAUAUUGUAAUAACAUAAAAGAUUUUAGACCUCGAUGUGCAAGGUACAGUUAUCAAUUCUUUUAAACAAUUUUAUAAUAUUUUCGUUGCAUGUUUACUUUUUUUCUUAUUUUUUUAAAACUAUUUUAGGAUGUUUCUGUUGCAUGUUUACAUUUUCUCUUUUUUUUCUGUUUGUUUAGCCAAUUGUCGUCAUAAUGCCACUUGUUUAAUGUUUGUACGAAAUAGUCAUACGUAAAAAGUUGUACAUUUGUGCAAAACAUGCAUGUUGACUAGCCACUACUUUUGCGCGAAAUAAUUUAAUUUUGAAUUAAACAAACUGAUAUUUAAAAAAAAAAUGUAGAAUUGUAGAAUUAUAAUUGUUUUUUUAUGAUUGAAAUACAUGUGUAAAAUUUAAACUAAAAACCGACAUUUAAGAUAUGAUUACCAUCUCCGAAAAAAAAUAUAUAACGUCCUUGAUUUUCUUUUGUAAACCUUUCGUGCAGAAAAAUCAAGUCAAUGACAUUUUCUUGAAAUGAACGAAGAAAAUAUGCAAAUGACAGAUCGGAAAUGCUUGUUAAUGUUUUCCAUACGGGAAAAAAAUUCUCACGAACAUGAAGCAAGCGAGGUAUAGAAUGUACUGCAAGUUCAAGCGACUAUGUACAUUAAAAGCAUUUCAAAUUAGAGGCGGUGACAUACCACAACUGUUGUGAAACACUCAGACAAUGUGAAAAUUUAGUUCACCUCUGCACUUGUUUUCCAAUAAAACUGGGAAGAAAGUUUUAUCUUCAAUAAUUAGGUUACAAGUAUCAGGAAUUAGCUACAUGUAGAUUGCCCCUGUCGUUAUCGUUUUUGGAUAUAUGUUCUGGACUUCACCUGUGCAUAUAGUUAUCAAAGGUACCAAGCUUUUGAUUUGAUACGCCGGACGCACGUUUGAUCUACGUAAGACUUAUCAAUGACGCCCAUUCAAAAAUAGUUAGACAGUCAAACAAGUAUAAAGUCAAAGAGCAUUGAGGACCAUAAAUUCCAAAACGUUUUAUAAACUGAGAUCGUUCCUUGCCAGAAAAUGCACUUUGAAUCAAAUUUAAUACUUUGCAUUGAUUUUAAAACAUUUAAGCAUUAUGACUAUCUCCUUUUUGAACAUACAUUUAUAGUAGUAAUGAGUUUAAACGGUAGAAACCUUUCAAUCUAAUGUGUACAUCAAAUAUAUAUUAUAUAAAAUUUACAUACGUUGUCGGCAAAUAAGUAAUUUAUUUUUACGAGGUUACAAACAGGAAGAAAUUCGAGACUCGGAGAUUUUUUUUCUUCGUGUGUUUGAAAGAGUAAAAAAUAAAUUUGAUUUUUCAGUUUGUUAGCAGGACGAAUAUCGAAUAGAUGUACAAUGUCUCUAUGCACCUGUAUUUUUAUGAAUAAAACAAGAAAUAGCUAAUUGCUGGGAAAAGGUUCAGCAUAACUUGUAGAUGUCGUCUUUUUAAAUAAUGUUGCGGUUGACUGUUGAGUAAUCCCUACGAAGUGUGAAUUUUCAAGCAUCUGCUUGGCUUCAAAACAAAUAGAGAUUCGAUGGCGAAUUGUCGAUGUCGAUAUUUGUCUCCAUCUUUUUUCCUCAAAUAAUUCGUUUUCAAUUAAUAAGAAACGAAAUAGGUUUACUUAAAAAUAAGCAAAUCACAAAUAAGGUUCCAUCUUUUUUAAGGAAAGCGGUCAUCGUUUCUUUCAUGGCAUGUAUAGUUUGCAUUGAUCUAACCCCAACCAAACACUAACCACUACCCACUGCUGGUAGACGUUUCGUCGUCCCCUCCCAGAGGGUAUCACCAGCCCAGUAGUCAGCACUUUGGUGUUGACAUGAAUAUCAAUUAUGUUAUAAUUUUAUAAAUUUCCUGUUUACAAAAGUAUAAUUUUUUCGAAAUACUAAGGAUUUUAUUUUCCCAGGCAUAGAUUACCUUAGAAGUAUUUGGCAUAACUUUUUGGAAUUUGGGUCCUCAAUGCUCUUCAACUUUGUACUUAUUUGGUUUAAUAACUAUUUUGAUCUGAGCGUCACUGGUGAGUCUUAUGUAGACGAAAAACGCGUCUGGCGUAUUAGAUUAGAAUCCUGUACCUUUACUAACUAUUUACACCACUGGGUCGAUGUCACUGCUGGUGGACGUUACGACCAGCCCAGUAGUCAGCACUUCAGUGUUAAUAUGAAUAUGAAUUAUUCGGUAAUUUUAUAAAUUUCCUGUUUACAAAAGUAUGAUUUUUUUUAUACUAAGGAUUUUCUUAUCCCAGGCAUAGCUUACUUUAGUUGUAUUGGCAAAACGUUUUUUGGAAUUUUGGGUCCUCAAUGCUCUUGAACUUUGUACUUGUUUUGCUUAAUAACAUUUUUGAUCUGAGCGUCACUGAUGAGUCUUAUUUAGACGAAACACGCGUCUGGCAUAUUAAUUUACAAUCCUUGUACCUUUGAUAACUAUACUGAUAACCUAUUACUAGUACUUUACACACUUUGUACUCUAAGUAAUAUGAUACUGUGGUAGAAGUUCAAAAACAUUUCAUACUGCAGAAACGUCUUAGGUCUGCAUAUAAAUUGCUUAUCUUACAAUUUUGAGGUGGUUUUUUUUAUAGCAUUUAAAGAUAAUCUUUUUCUUAUUUCUUAGCAAUCUGUUUAUACUGGUUAGUAUAAUAGUCUCAGGUUUAUAUAUAUACAAAUAGAAAGAUUUGAUAUUAGACUUUGAUAAACAUUUUUGCUCUUCGAUCGAUUUAAAGUUUGAAAGAGACAUGUUCAAUUAUUCUUGAAUUUGAUUUAUAAUAUAUGAAAGAAGUAUGAACCAUUUUUCAACAAUUCUUUUUCGCGAGGUCAAAUUCCGAAGGUUCAUAAAACUUUAAGAAAUUUGAAUAAUUAAAAGACUGAAUAAUAUACUUAAAAAGAUAUUUGCAAGGAUUUUCAUAUAAACACAAAACCAAAUUGAUAUUCUAUGCGAUCAUCUGGCAUAGAGGGUCAUUAUGUUAAUUUGAAAUGUUUCUUUAACUUGUGCAUCGAAAAAUAUCGUGACCUGAAUUGAAUUUAAUUAUAUCUGAACGGAAAUAGCGAGUCAUCCAGUUAAGAAGUAAGUAGUUUAUCAUAGUGCCACAAUCUAAUAUACAUUAUCAUAUACAAUAUAAACAUCUUUAAACCCAUAUUAAAUACCUGCCUUUAAGACAUAUACGACACUUUCAUUCUUUUCAUAAUAAAAAUAUAUGCUAUUAUGAAAUAUCAAAAAUGAAUAUUGAAAUAACAAUUUUUAGUUUUCAUAUGAUACUAAAAAUUUCAAAUAUUUUUUUUAUACGUAAAUAAAUAUUAAAGAUUUAACAAGUUUUACUGUGUUCUCAGAGGAAAUAUAUAUAGCUUUACUUCAAAUGCAGUUUUAGUUUUGUUUUAUUGUUUAAUCUGCAGACACUGCAAAUUUGCAACAAUUUCCCAAAAUUAAAAUGUUUUAAGGUGGUAGACCUUGGUUCAGGGAGAUAACUCUUUAAAUCAGUUAAGCGUUUGUAAAAGUCAAGUUUCAUCAAUGUUUUUCAAGCAUUUACAUGAAACAGAUUGAAAAUAAUCUAUGUAACCUAGAAGCUUAGAAUAUAUUUAUGAAAAUGGUUGACACAAACAUACUGAUGAUUUUAAGAGUUAUUUCCCUUAACCUAGGUCUACCACCUUAAGCCAUUUACACACCUCAUUUUAAGCUAUAUGACAUUGUUAAGAUAUAAAACAUAGACUUGAAACAUAUGAGUCUGUGAAAAGGGUAAUCUGCAAGAAAUAUUACUAUAGAGGACAGGGAAUCUGAUGCUAUAAUUAAAUUGUAUCCAAUGAAGAAACGAUUAAUUUAAUACAUAGAGUACCAAGAAUAAAACAAGAAUAAAACAAGAUAUAUGCAUACUUGUAUCAAAUUAAAAUCGAGCCAAAUAAACUUAACUUGUGAAAUAUUUUGUUUUUCAUUUAUGAAACUCGUUCUUUAAUUGAUUGCACCCCACCGUGCAUCUAAUACAUUUUAAGAAGAAAGCUCAUUGCUCCUUAUCCCCAUUUCUAAACGGAUGCAGGCAUUUCAAAUGAUCUUGAUGUUAGCUAUAGCAAUUGCUCUGCAAUAAAUUUGUAUAUCUUGGCUGAUGUGAAUAAAAGUGUACAUUUGAAUAGGAGAGAAGCUAUAUACCCAUAUUAAAUUAUAAUCCUGGUGCCUUUGAUAACUAUUUACACUACUUGGUCGAUACCACUGCUGCUGGACGUUUUGUCCUCGAGGGUAUCAACAGCCCAGUACUCAGCACUUCGGUGUUGACAUGCAUAUCAAUUAUAUGGGCAUUUUAAUAAAUUUCCUGUUGACGAAACUUAAAACUUUUCGAAAAAAAAAUAAGAAUUUUCUUAUCCCAGGAAUAGAUUACCUUAGCCGUAUUUGGCACAACUUUUUGGAAUUUUUGGUCCUCAAUGCUCUUCAACUUUGUAUUUGUUUAGCUUAAUCACUAUUUUGAUCUGAGCGUCAGUGAUUAGUCUUUAUGUAGACGAAACGCGCGUCUGGCGUAUAAAAUUAAAAUCCUGGUACCUUUGAUAAAUAUUUUUACAGUUGCCAACAAAAAAUAGACUAAUCGGGCAAAACUAACACUUUUAAUCUGAUGGUUCCUCUGAAAUAAUGUCUUCCACAAUAUAAUCCACUAUUAAAACUGCGUUAGCGAAAUGACAGGUCACAAACACCGAGACCAAUAUUUUCCAGUUACAAUUGAUUUGUAAUCAUUCAGUACUUAGUCUCAGCUGGGAGGUUAUAUGAAACCUCCUUGGUCUGAGUACCUAAACUAUUCCCAACAGUUAUGUGCAGAAUGAAUUAAGUCGACAUUUCACUUUUAUUUACAUGUAGUGCAUUGCUUGCUCAACGUCAAUGUGAUUAGAUUUGAAGUCAGAACCAAACGUGAAUUGAAAUGAGUGUAAUGAUUUAAGGAUAUUCCUGAUGUCGUCACAUAGAAAGAACACAUCUGUUUGCAGAUCAUUCGAAAAGAAAGGAUAGUUUGCCUGCGUAUUGUUUGAAAAUCAUAUGAGAAACAGAUUCUACCACCAAAUCUCGAGUAAUAAGAUAUUUAUCCACUCACAGACAGUUAUAUUUAAAUAUUUAAAACGCUCGGCGAGCCUCGCAUUUAAAAUUUGAAAAUUUAAUUGUCUCGCGUGGAUAAAUAUCGUAUCACACGCGAUGCAGUUGUAGACUCCAUAUAUGUCCAUGAGGGUUGCAUUGUGAUAAACACAUUUACGCGUUUUAUCUGCAGCUUGAUGUUUUCAAUUGAUCGAAAUAUAAUAAAGCUUUUUUUUAAAUAGGGAAGGACUGAUCUAUCAAACAAAUAAUUGUCUCUUGUUAUUGGGCGUUUCACUUUCCAUAGACGAGAUGCUAAUCAAGCUCCUUUCCAGCCGCACCUGUCUGCAUUUGCAUAUACAUGUUUUUAUUUAUACAUCCUGUACAACCAAACGUGCGAACUUAUGUGCUAGGUACGCCAUAAUUGGGAGUUAUAUCAUUUGACUAAGUAAAGCUCUGGAUAUAUUAGACACAUUUAUUCAUAUUGAAAUUUUUUUAAUAGAAGUAGUAAUAAUGCUAAAUCGUUCAGCUUCCAGCAUGAUAGGCCAUUAGUUAAUUGUAAAUAGAGAUAACCAACAACUUAAAUUAUAAGGAAAAUGAAAAAUCUAAUUGUUUCGACGAAUUAAAUCUAGCGAUGCCAUUUAAUUCGAAUUUUAAUAAAAAGAUUUCCAGCAUCAAGUCAUAAUAAAACCUUUAUUAUUAUGACUUUUAAAGCUGCUAAAUAACCAAUGCUGUAUAAGAUUAUAGUUCAAGAUCUAUAUACGUAUAUGUAAAUACAUGAUUAGUAAAAAAAACACUUAUUUGAUAAAGAUCAUAUAAGAUCAGUAAGUGCAUGAAGGAGCGGAGGUAUAAUGACUUUAAUAUUAUGUAAGUUGUGUUUAAAACGGACAUGUUGUAUAGAAAUUGAUCUCCACUUUUAAGACAAUGGACCGGUGUUAUUUAAUCAGCAAAUGCAAAUUAUGAUUGGAAAUUAUAGGUUCAGGAAAUAGACAUUCUCAAGUGUAAAGGAUGUUGAUUUCUGUGUUUAAUUGAUAAGAAUAUUACGAAAUAAACGUUAUUGCUGAGUUCACUAUAUUCGUUUAAAUUGAAAAUGUGACCGAAAGUAUUUUUUGGACUAAAGUAAAAUGUUUCUAGUAAGAUCAAAGUCGUGUAUUACAAGAAAGAGGAAAAGUACAAUUUCAACAGCAAAAAUUGUAACCAGACGUUCUUAUUGGAUUUACCAAAAUGGUUUUAGACCUCGAUGUACAAGGUACAGUUGUUUGUGGUUCUUUUUUUAUGUUUUUCAUUUGCCUCUUCAAGUUUCAUGCUUUAUAUGAACGCUUAAUAAUGCUAAAACUAUAUUAUAUUUCUUUCACGUGUAUUAAUGUAUAUGUUCGGGCAGUCAAUAAUAGACACUUAUGCAGUCUACUUUUCAUAUAGGUACGCAUAGAAUGUCAGAAAUGUUUUAUUUAUAUACAAACUUGAAAUCAACCAGGUUUGCUAUUUCUAAAAGUCGUUUUGUUUUUGUUUCGAAACCAGUAUAAUCCGGCAAGGCUCGUAACUUUGUUAACCCUGAAAAUUAAAUGCGGAUGCUCAAUUUGAUUUUGAAUUAGAUAUUUGAAUUCCCAGUCGUUUUCAAAGAAAUCGAAACUGUCUGCAUUGAUAUAGGACAUAUAGACCUAAACGUGAUGUAAACAGUCAUCUUAUAUUUUCUUCUGUAAACAGGAGGGAUAACUGGAUGCAUACUUUACGAAAUCACGUUUUAACCUUUUAAUCGUACAAAAAUUUUAUAGAAUGGAAAAAUAACAAAAUUAAGGGCAGACAAGGUCGGAAGAAGCUGGAGGUUUUUCGGGCUUGGACGGCACAUAUUGAACGUUCUUAAGGCUUGGCUUUUGAGUAAACAAGCAUCUCUAGCGAAGAAAUGACAUGUAUCCUGUAGUUCAGAAAUUAAGAAAAGCAACUGAAGUUACAUCGCUUUUGAGAAAACAUUACUUGAAGGGUGUUGUAUUUUUUGUUUUAAGUCUGCACUGAGUGCAUAGCACCCCUCGACACACGUAUUAUACACUUAUGAUGUCAUAAAUUGAUACUGAAAAAAUAAGGUGUGAUAUAUCGGACACAUUAUCUCCUUUUGGAGUGGUUAAUUGAUUUGUACAAAUAAAUUUAAAAAAAAAGAGAUAUGGAGUAUUUCAAGCAUGUCAACGAGACAAUUAGCAUACCAUCGGUUUAAAAACAGUGAAAGAAUUCUAGAGUUCAAUAUUCGAUCUUAAACAAAAACAUGAGUAUGAUUAUAUCAUGUCACAGUGUUCACAAUUUAUAUGAUUUUUUCCAAGAAAAGUUUUGAAUGAUUUAAACCGAGAAUAUCAGAUAUCUGCCACCAAACUACAACUGACAAGGUUCUGUGUAUAUAUAGGUUUAUUCAAAUCAAUUACUAAAGCUGACAAUAGAAUUUCUAUAAAAUCGAUUUAUUAUACCAUAUGCAAUCGUAAAAUUAAUUUUGUAGAUAAAUCAAAUAGAAUUGUACAACAAUAGCAUUAAUAAAUUAUGCCAUUGUUGUACAAUUUUACAGUUAGGCUUGAAGUUUAUUUAGUUAUAGUUAAUAAAAAGUUCUUAUAUAAAUAAUGUGUAUUCAUAAGCAAAACAGUGAAGGUGUGAAAUCAUGAGGUUAUCAUAUAUAUUGACGUUUAAUAUUCUAUUUUAUAAAUGCUGACGAUGCGAAAUCCAAUUAUAGUGAAAUCUUAGUAAAGAUAGAUACUUAAAAAAAACACGUGACGUGUCCAUAAAAGUCUGGUCAAAGGGCGACAAAUCAAAUCGUUUUUAAGUUAGGACUCUAAUUACAGAUGCAUUUCAUGUUAUUACACGUAGACGUAUGAUAAUGCACCACCCCCUUCACACUCAUCCCCCUAAAAAUGUUAUGAAAGUAAUGUAUGGUCGCAGAAUAAGAAUUCAUCUAGUAUUUGCACUUUAGUUGUUAAUAUGUUAUGUACAAAUGUACUUACAAAGUCAAAAUAAUUAUCGUUCAAAAUACAAUAUUUUUAUUACAGUCGACUUUGAUUAUCCUGUAAUGUUACCCAAUGGACAUUGCCACUUCCAAAUCCAAUUUCGGAAAUAAUCUUGAAUUCAUCAAAAUUGUACAAUAUUUACUAGGCAGCUAAAUUCAUGUGCAACAUGUACAUUGAGCUUAUCAUCUACAUCCGAUUUCACCUGGAUAGAUGUACUCUUGAUAAAGCUAGUUGGUCUAGCGAAAUAUUGCGUUCAUUUUUAUCGCAUUGUAAAUAUCUUUAACAUUCUAAUAUUUACAUACUAAAUAGUGUCUUAAAAUUACAUUGUUAGGCAAUUAAAAAUGAUAAAGAUACAUUUGUACAUAUUUUUUUAUUCAAAUUAAAGGGCCAAUGAUGUGGAAAGCAAUUUAUGACAAUGACUUUUUAUUAUGAUUUUGAGACUGUAAAAAUAUUGACAAUCAUAUAUAAAUAUACAUUCAACCAGUUAAAUUUUAUGAUCUUAUGCUACAGCCUGGCAAGAACCAUAAGCUUAUGGCUACAAAAGCAGUAAUAAAACAGAUUAUGUAUAUUUUAAAAAAAAAAUAAGAAUAUGAAGAGUUAACUUUUUACUCGGUUACAUUAUAAAGUUUGUUAUUUGAAAUGAGAAGUUGUUCCUUCUUAAUAAAUUGUGAAGUUUGUGUUUAUUCACCUGAUUCCGCAUUUAUAAUAAUUUACGUGAACUUGUAUAAAUAUACAUGUGAACUAAGAAUGAUGACUCGCUGAAUAUGCAUGACCCUUUGGUGGCCCUCGGUGGCCCUCGGCUUUUGUCUGCACUUUGGUCGGGUUGUUGUCUCUUUGACAUAUUCCACAUUUCCAUUCUCAAUUUUAUGAUGUAUUUGCCCCUGAACGUUAAAUAAACGCAUUAAUAUGUAUAUGAUUAACUUAUUUUAGUAGUCCCAUCUUACAUAAUAAGUUUGAUGUCAGAGACACCAUAAAUUUCAAGCGAUUAGUUUGAAAAAAACGUAACAAUGUAUGUUUUCCUCGUUACAAAUUCCUCAUUGAAUACUAAAAAUAUAAUUAGAAUUUAAUUCGUUUUCUUCUAACAUGCACAAAUUUGCUUGACAUUUCGGAAAUAUUUGCUCUAGGUCAUCCUCAUAGUUAAAAGUAACUAAAAUCAAUCUAGAGGUCAAAGUGUGAACAUACUUGAAGUAUUUCUGCAUUAACAAUGAAACUUAGAUAUGAUUUACUACUGAGAAGGUGCAUCUGCACAACACGUAGCAUUCAAAAUGUAUGUCAAUGAAGGACGACGUCUUAAUAACACCUGCUAUGACUCAGUUUUAAAAGUUACAUGUACUGAAAACAUGUAUGAAGAUAGUACAUUUACGGUUAAUCCAUAUUUUUACAAUUAAAGUUGCAUAGUACCACCUUUAAAAAUCGUGGAUCUGCGUCUAACGUACCGGUAUCAAAUCAAGAUUACAUAAGAAGUCUUAAAAGCAAACAAUAUUUAUGUGAAACAUGCAAUAAUAAUAGUCUGCAUGAUAUACACAAUAUUAUUUAUUAUGAUGUUAGUGUUUAGUGAAAAAGGGGGAGGGGCGGGGGUGGGAGACAAGAAAGACAACGUCAAGCCGAUGAUAGAAAAAAAUGGAACAAUGUUUUAACCAUUGUAUAUACUUUAAAACUCGUCAGCUUUGUUCUUAGUUCUAUUCAUUUUAUGUUUGUGUAAAGAAGAAAAUUACACAUAUAAACGUUGUUUAGUGCAAGACUUUUUAUUUAUUAUCAUAGAGUGUUAAUAAAUAAUAAUAACCUGAAUUGCUGUAUCAUAAAUCAUGACGAAAUAAUAAUACAUUGAUUCCUCGCUGUUAAUGAUCGCCUUAAAUUGUUUUCAUGAUAAAUGCAGGCGGAUACUAUUAGAAAUUGUUUUUGAUAUCGAUUUAAUAUCGAUGUGCUAUAUAUUGAAAAUUGUAAAUAUCUACUUAAUUGGGAGAUUUCUGGACACUAUAUGACAAGAUAGCAUGGUUACAAAUCCUUAAGUAGGCGUCUACUUUACUAUAGUGUUGUAGGUGUUUGGUAAAGUCACACUUUUUAUUCCUAUACUGUUCCGUCUGGAUAGAAAUAAACUAUGGAGGACAUUUUUAGACUCCGUUCUAAAUCGUUUACAAAUUUUAAGAAAAAAUCUCCAGUUUUAUCUAAAGUUGAUGCGUUAAGGAGAACAACUUGGACAAAAGAGGACUUUUUUCGUCGAAGAUGCGCAAGGUAAAUCUUUUGUUUAUAUUGAUUUUUAACUAAUUGAAAGAUAAAUGUUUGCAGUUUCAAAUUUUGGGGAAAAUUUUGAUUUUAUAUUUCCAAUUAUUACGAGCUUUUUUUUUUAAAUUUCAAAAACUAACUGCUAUUUAAAUAUCUAAAACUUAUUACUCUCUUUAUUGUAAUAUUAUCAAAAAUUGUUUGCACAUUAACAAAGAUGUGAAAAAAGAUAUGAUAUACAAAUGUACAUUGGUAUUUCCAAUUAGAUCUAAGUUUUAAAAAAAAUAACUUGUGUUUUGGGGUCACUUCCCCCACCUUCCUUGUGUAUAAGCCUUAAAUUAAUUACCUAUAAUAAUAGCUUUUUGUUGGCAUUUCUGGCAUUACUCAAGGUAAAACAGUUCAGCAAAAUAAAUCUCUACCUACCCUAUCUGGCCCAAUGAGAAAUACAUAAACACAGCCAUUUUUGUUUGGCCUAAUGCCUGGUUCUCUGCGGUUUCCUGUCCAUCUUCGUUUGUCACUGUCUUUUUGAGAAAAGGAACCUCUUCAUCAUGACUAAACUGACACAUACAAAACAAUCACUGCGCCAAGAUUACGCAAUAGAGAAGCAGAAGCUUCGUGAAAUUAUUAUUAAGAGAACCCGACAAAAAUUAGGAAAAGCAUUCUAGAUAUUACUUCAUGUUUUCGUAGCUGACACACCAAAAUGUUCUCUUAUAUACAGAAAAAAAAAUGUUAUAAAAAAAAACUUUUUGCAUGUUUAUCAAAUUGAAUCUUUAUCAUUAAAUACUUUUAUAUGAUUUAAUCCCUUUCGAUAGCAAACCACUUUUCAUAAAAGCAAAAAAAGACAAUUUUAUACUUAAACGCUUUCAAUAACCAAAUGAAACAACAGUUUUAUUUGAACAACAUAACAAUUACGAUAAAUUGCCCCGUCAGGUCUAUUUCUUACAAUAUAGCGUUUGUGUUAUUUAAUGAUAGUUAUUGUGUUUGGUCGUUACCUAGAAAAAACAGAUCGAACGAGAAUAAUCAUAAAAUAACAACUAUGCAGGAAAUACGCUCUUGGGAUUUGAAAUAUCACGUAAAGUGUGAAAUACCACAAUGCUUGCUUGGUGAAACUAAUUCUCAGUGAACAUUUUUUUUGCAUGACUUUAUUUCAAAGGAAAGAUUGUUCGAUUUUUUUUAGGCCAGGGGAGGUGGGAAGGGCGAUUUGGGAAUUAAAUUGUUCCGAUAAAAACUGAAAAAAAUAAUUACACGUCAUCAGGACCGAUUUUAUGUUUUACACGUCAUCAGGCUCAAGGCCGAAUUUUUGAAAGCCAAGGACAUAUAAGAACUGAAAAAAAUGAAUGUAUCAUUCUUUUAAUCUUAUUAUGGCCCCGCCGUAAUGUAGGAGGUAUUAAACGUUUUACUCUUGUCCGUCUGUACGGUACGUACGUCCGUACGUCCCAAAAUUUGUUCCCGUUCUCUAACUUUGGUUUACCUCAACCAAAUGUUAUGUAACUUAUACACAAUAAAAUUGAGAAAGGAAAUGGUGAAUAUGUCAAAGCGACAACCACCCGACCAUAGAGCAAACAACAGCCAAGCAACAAUGUUCAUGUAGCGAGGACCCGCACCUAGCUGGCCUAAAAUAUGCAUAAUAGUACAGUGAUAAUGGACGUCAUACUAAACUCCGAAUUAUACACAAGAAACUAAAAAUUAAAAUCAUACAAGACUAACAAAGACCAGAGGCUCCUGACUUGGGACAGGCGCAAAAUUGCGGCGGGGUUAAACAUUUAUGAGAUUAACCCUCCCAUACCUAGCAAUGUAAGAAAAGUAAAAGAAUAACAAUCGCACAUUAAAAUCAGUUCAAAGAGAAGUCCGAGCUGAUGUCAAAAGAGUAACAAAAAAAUAAAUAAAAGAAAAUACAAAAUACAACAGACUAUAGCAGAAGACAAUCCAGACCUCAAUUAAAUGAUUGAAAUUAUGUCUUCAUCAUAAAUAUCAGGUACAAUCCCUCCCUUAGGGGUUAGUAUCAUACUAUAUAAAAAUAUGAAAGAACAUAACGUGCAUGCCAACAACUGUUUUUGAAAUAAAUGUGUUAUUCCGAUGCAACCUAUCAGUGAAUCAUGUUAAAGCAAAAUAGCAUCUUUAAUGACCUGCAACAGUAUCGUAACUAUAUCCUUUUAAAAGUCUAUUUAAAGUUUUGUUAGUUUUCUGAGGAAUACUACAUUUUUGUGCUUUAAGAAUAUUCCAUAAAAUUUUGGAUGUGAAUACCUGAGUAUAAGAUUCGCAUUUGAUUAGUUUACGAAUAUUUCCUUGAUACCGGUGAUAAAUAGUAUGAUUUUGACAGUUGUGAUAUCGAAAACCUGGUGAAUAAUUUUUCAGUAAUACAUAAAUUUCUUCUCGCUAAAUAUUGUACAUACGAGCGAAUCGUACAAGUGAAAUAUAACACCAUAGAUGUGACAAGGGAACAUUCUAAAAGGAUAAUUAACAUAGAAUAAAAUCAUCUCUUUUAUCAUAAAUUUUGUAUAGCUUCCCGUUAGAUAUAGAGAUAAUGAUGAGGAAAGGCAGUGGUCUUGUUAUCAUUAGCUUAUUUAAAGUAAGUUCUACAGGAAAAUUUCUUUAGUAUACAUACUGAAGUCGUCAUUAUUUAGAGCAAUAUAUCAUCCAAAUAUCUAAAGUAUUGUUAAAUUUUUGUAUCAAAUGUUUUUUGAUGGUCUUUGCUAAUUUUAGUCAUAAAUUGUAACUCAAACAAUACAAACAGUCGCAAUAAGUGGUGCACAGUUAGUCCCAUUGGAAUUCCAAUAACUUGACGAUAUACGGAAUCUCCAAAGCGAACAAAAAUGUUAUCAAGUAAAAAUUCAAGUACAUAAAUAGUAUCAAGCAUGUCAAUUGACAUAGUGCUUUUGUUAUUGCUACUAAAAAAUGAUCUAAAAAGAGUUGAACAUAUGUAUCGCAUUCCGACUUUUAAAUGCCCAUUAAUAGGGAUGUAAUUUUUUCUUAAUAAGAAUAUGAGCAAAGUGGUAUAAGGUAGAAAAUCAAACUUGAACAGAUUCAAAAUCACCAAUAUAUGCAUGCAAUUUAUCAGUACUUCCAACGAGUUUUUGACACUCCAAAAGUAAUUAAUUCCACUAUUUUCAAGCUUAUUUGAACAAUUUAUAUCAGGUUUUUAUUGUACCAAGUGUACUAGUAAGUAAAACAGACAAUUUAGUAGUUGAACAAUGGUGGAAGAUGAAUAAAUCUAUAUUUGUAAGGUUUUGUGCAGCUUCGGAAGCCGUACAUAGUUGGACUUUCAUUGUGUUUGGUUUCUGUAAAGAAGUAGCUAAAAGUUAUGUUUGUAAGAUCGUUUUCUGAAAAUGAAGUCAGUUGGAAUGUUGGUGAAUUCGUGAUUUCCUUUGCAGAAACCUCUAUAUAAAAUUUACGUCAAACAAUAUGAUAUUUAUUAGCAGCUUAUCACCGGACAAAGAACAAUUCCUUGGCUAGUUCUGUAGUUUAUUUUAUACGCGAAAUAGGGUUUUUAUAGUGCUUUUAUAAUGCUUAUUACCACAAAACAGAUCAAGUUUGAAUUUUAGGGGUUUCACUUUAACCGUUCUAUAGUUAUGCCCUUUACAAAUGAAAAAAAAAUGAUGAAUUUUUUUGUUUUCUUUUAGUUUUCGUUCCCUUACGUUAGUUCGCCUGGACCAAAUGUAAUGAAACAUAAAUGCAAUGCUAAUUACCACAAAAUACAGAUCAGGUUUGAAUAUUGGUGGCGUCACUUUUACCGUUCUAGAGUGCUGGAAAAAAUGCUGAUGUUUUGGUUUCUGUUCCCUAGCUUAAGUUUGCCUCAAUUAAAUGAUAUGAAUCUUAUAAUCAAUGCUUAUUACCACAAAACUCAGACAAAGUACACAUUUGGGGAGGGUCACUUUUCCAGUUCUUGAGUUAUAUUCCUUUAUAACGUUAUGUGUAAGCGGGGGCAUCAUCUGUGUCCCAUGGACACAUUCCCCAUUUAUUUAUCCUCGAGUAUGUCUGUUCAUUGUAAUUGCAUCAUAAUUAAGGUCUUUCCUUUUACAAAAGGGAAAGACCUUACUGUAUUUCUUCUGUUUAUUAAGGUCUUUCCUUUUUACAAAGGGAAAGACUUACUGUAUUUCUCUGUUUAUCUAUAUUAUUAUUAUUAUUAUUAUUAUUAUUAUUCUUUUUCCGCAAACUUUUACAAUUUAGCCGCAUUACCGUAAGACGUGUCGCUUUCAUGUCACACUUUGUAUCCGUGAUGAAUACCUAUCUGGAACUCACCUGUUAGUCGAAUAUUUGUCGGUUCGGAGUAUCCCUCCGACCCAAAACCUUGUUAUCGUUCCAAACGUACCGUAAUAGGUAGAAAAAAAACAGGGUGAAAUUUGUUCAGGACCUGACCCCGGUUCUUCGUUACAUUUGAUCGAAAAGAUUCAACGACUCAUUGGUAGGGUUAUGCCCUAUGAAAAUUAACCGGUGUCGGUUGGCCACCAAAACUCAGAAACCGUAAGUCGUAGACACCUAGGAUCUUCACCAUUCAUCGUCAGUUCAUGUGACGUCAAAUAAUACCUCAAGGUCAAAUGUGUAUGUUGACCUUGAACUUUGACCUAUCAACUUGUUAUGGGAUAAUCUCAAAAACCAUUAUACUUACAGAAGUUUGAAUAGUGGAAAUGUUUGGGUCAUUAUGGCGCAACAUUGUUAAUUUUGACCAAAGAGAUUUGACUUUUAAUAGGGGAUAACCCUGUUUUAGGUUUCUGAAAAGACAAAUCAGCUUUUACUAUGUACCAAAGGUCCUAGACCCAUGGGGUCUAUCAGCAUGACAUUGGGACUAAUGCCUUGACAAAGGUAAAGGUCAAAGGUCAAGGUCAUGUCCAGAUAGCGAAUUAAGUGUUUUAACCUCAUAUAAUGGAUUUUAGUGGGUUUUCAAGCUUUGUACGGUUGACCUUGACUUUUUCAAUACAUUCUAGUCUAUUAGAACAUGUAUUUUAUUACAAAAGGAAAGACCUCUCAAUUGUUCAGAACAAUUGACAGUUUAAUUAUUAUUAUUAUAUUAUUAUUCUUUUUCCGCCAACUUUGACAAAAUUUAGCCGCGUUAACCGUAAGACGUGUCGCUUCAUGUUCACACUUUGUAUCGGUGUCAUGAAUACUAUCGGAACUCACCCUGUAGUCGAAAUAUUUUGUCGGUUCGGAGUUAUCCCUCCGAAACCCAAAAGCCUUGUUAUCGUUCCAACACCGUAACCGUAAUAGUGAGAAAAAAACAAAGGGUGAAAUUGUUCAGGACCAGACCCCGGUUCUUCGUUACAUUUGGAUCGAAAAGAUUCAACGACUCAUUGGUAGGGUAUGCCCCUCUGAAAAUUAACCGGUGUCGGUUGGCCACCAAAACUCAGAAACCGUAAGUCGUAGACACCUAGGAUUUCACCAUCAUCAUCAAUUCAUGUAUCUUUGAAAAAUACCUCAAGGUCAAAUUGGUAUGUUGACCUUGACCUUUGACCUAACACCUUGUUAUGGGAUAAUCUCAGAAACCAUUAUACUUACAGAAGUUUUAAAUAGUGGAAACUGUUUGGGUCAUUAUGGCGCAACUUUGUUACAUUUUGACGGAAGAGAUUUGACUUUCUGUAAGGGCAUAACCCCUGAUUUAGGUUCUGAAAGACAAAAUCAGCUUUUACUAUAUAACCAAAGGUCCUAGACCGUGGGGUCUCACAAUGACAUUGGGGACUAAUGACUUGACAAAGGUCACAAGGUCAAAGGUCAAGGUCAUGUCCAGAUAGCGAAUUAUGUGUUUUUGACCUUAUUUUAAGCAUUUUGAGUGUUUUUAAUGUUUUUAAAGGUUGACCUUGACCUUUGACCUUUCAACUUUUUUCGAUAUCUCAAAACGGUUAAUCUUACAGAAAUAGUAAACAGUGAAAAAUGUUAAGGUGACUGAGGCACAACUUUUUUACAUUUUGACCGAAAGUAUUUGACAUAUUCUUAAGGGGCAUAACCGCCGUUAACGGUUUUCUGAAAAGUAAAAUUAGCUUUAACUCUUGAACGAAAGUCCUAGACGUCAUGGGUCUUUUACAAUGACAUUGGACCAAUGACUUCACAAAGGUCACAAGGCAAAAGUCAAGGUCAUGUCAAAUUAUCGAAUUUAUUGUUUUUUGUCAUUUUUAGCGGUUUUAUGUGUGUUUGAGAGCUUUUUCAUGCAUUCUACGCCUAUUGGACAUGUACUUUACAUUUCGAAAAGGAAAGACCUCUCAAUUGUUCAAGAACAAUUGACAUUUUAAUUAUCUGCUUAUAUUUUAUUAUCUAUUUAUAAGUAUUGGUCUCAGUCGAUAUGUUGUCAUUGGAACGUACGAACUGGGAAAAUAUAUUCAACACAUGUGGUGUAUAGAGGUCAGGAAGGGGAUUUUGGACAAGUACUAGUUCAGAAAAGCUAGGUUAAAUUUCCUGAGCCGCUAAUUUAAAAAUAUAAAAUAAGGAGAUGUCGUAGGAUUACCAAUGAAACAACUAUCUACCAGAGACCAAAUGACGUAGAUGUUAGCACCUAUAGGUCACAGUACGACCUUCAACAAUGAACAAAACUCAUACUGCAAAUCAAGCUAUAAAAGGAUAAAUAUAACAAAACUUAUAAAAAAACAGCGGUCUAACAAAUGUAAAAGAAUUAAUAAUAAACGAAAAUCAAAUAUGAUAUGUAGCAACAAACGAUUACCACUUAAUUACAGGAUCUUCACUUGGGACAUGCUUAUUCAGAGUGUUGCGAAGUUAUACAAGUUAGCUCCUAACCCUUCCCUAACCUCGGACAGUGGUGCAACAACACAAUGCAACAAACAAAAUCAUCAUAAUAAACAGUAACGAACGAUCAUCACUUAAUUACGGGCUACUAAUAUGGGACAUGCACAUACUGAAUGUAGCAGGGUUAAAAGACUAAUUUUACUAAAUACACUAGCCAUAAUACCAACCAAUGUAAAUAAACGAUAUCUAAAUAUAUUUUUUUCAAAACAUGUAGAGCGCUCCGGCUGCCACUAAACUAUCUAUAAUUCCUGCUUUUUGUCAAUCCAUUUUGUCAUCUUACCAUGUCAAAAAGAAGACCCUUGUUUAUCUCAAUCACAUUCUUACACAAGAUGCAACCGUCUUUUCAUGCAGGAUUCAAUGGCCUUUUAAAAUCACCAAUUUGUAUGUUUGGUUGAAAUAUAACAUGUAUAAACCGUGAAAUUCACAAUCCAUGAUUGCUGCAUUAUAGAAAUAAGAUCAGGUAGAUCCCUGUCACAAUUUGAACAAAUAUGAUAGUAAUGAUAUACUAGUAAGUACACACAUUAAUAUUCAUAACAUAAAACUUAGUACUAGUAUAUAAACUGAGUUUUGCAAACAAUUGUGAGAUCAGACCCUUUCACUGAAUUUCAUAAUAUUGAACAUAUAAUGAUAUAUUUCGUAAGUAUAGGGAAUGGCAUUGUGGGCUGUUAAAGUAUGUCUAUACAUGUAAUAAAAUUAACGGUACCAAUUUUCUUGCACCAGAUGCGCAUUUCGACAAUACAUGUCUUUCGUGAUGCUCGUGGCCAAAAUAUUUGAAAUCCAAAGCUUAUAUAAAAGAUGAAGAGCUAUAAUCCAAAAGGUCCAAAAAGUAUUGUAAGUGUAAACCAAUCAUAAAGACAUUUGUAGAUUCCAAUGAGACACAUUCAAACCGUUACAUAGCAAAAUUAAUGCUCAAUAUUGUCCUAAUUUUCCAUUUCCAAAAUACACGUUUUUAGUUAGCAAACUUGUAAAUGUGUGACAAUUCAUGCCGGCUUUUUAACAUUAUAAUUUGCACCUCUCGUACAAAUGAUUAUUUGCUGCCAAUGUUGCUAGCAAAUAUUACAUACGUAAGGACAUAAGGCGUCAGGACAAGAAUUGAAAAUAAAUUUAAAUAAAUCAGAAAAUGCUCGAUGAAGGCGUCGAAAUAGUAAGCUCUGCAAUUUAAAGUGCAAAAUAAGGAAGUAAAUGUAAUGUCAAUCUCACGACAAGACUUUUAGUAUUGUUUCAAAAUGUUCAUGAUGCUAAGGUAAGAAAUUUUUAUGUAACAUGCUGUAGUUUCAGACACACAAAAAAUGUGUAUUUUUGUGUGUUCUUAGGGAUUGGUCAUUAUCUUUCACCAAAACAAGGGGCGCUACAAAUUAUUUUGAAAGACUAGAAAAAAAAUGUAAUGACCCCCCUUCUUCUAACAUAAAGAAACCUCACUCCCCCUUUUUGUCCAGGUUCCAAAAUGUUUUUUUUAUUUUAUUUUCCUGCCCCCUGGAUAUAGAUAAUGACCGGUCCACUAAUACUACACACACACAAACGCACGUAUUUCGUCUUUAAUCAAACAAUAUAACUAGGACUGCUUUUUUUACUUGAAAAUUUGUUUAUCCAUGUAGCGGACUUUACUCAAGCUGUGGUAAAUAAAUAGAAUAUGGGUAGCGAUAUAGAAUAGCUGUACAUAGCUAUCAGGACUGAGACUAAAUUGGGGUUGAAUGAGUACAUUAAUGGACAUCUUGAAAUCUUUAAAAUGAACGGGGAGCGUUUUCAGAUGCAAAACCGACAAAAUCACACUUACGGCUUACAGUCGAAAAACAAUAUUUCUUAGGAUAACAGAUUCGACCACAAGACAAUUCUGGAAAAUGUGGCAUUUAAAAAAAUAUCAAACAUAUCGUAUGAAAAUUGUAUGCCAAUAAGUACAUAUUGAUAAUUUAACUGAUACUGAUCUAUAAUAUCCUCUGCAUUGAGAGUAGGGGGAGGAUGGCAAAGUAACUGAUGGGGUGGUUGCUGGUGGGCGGGUGUUUGCGAACCCAUCCUGGCUAAAGUGAGAACUGUUUGACUUCGUCAUUUAGAUAUUUCACCUUGUAGUUACAGCAACGUAUGAUGAUCUACGUUGACAAUUGAAAGUUCAAAAAACAAUUUCAGAAGGAUAUAUUAUAUAAUAUGAUAUGACUUAAUAGUGUAUUUGGUAUAAUAAUUGAUAAACUUUCUAAUAUUUAGAAAUUUAUUCUGCACAUGGUAUUUAAUCGAUUUAAACAUUGUAAUACGUGUUCAGUUUAAUAUCGAAAAAUCAAUGUAUUAUAGCUAAAACCACGCGUUUUAUCGACAGGUCAUCUUCAAGAAUUAACUCGUCAAGAUCAUAAAUUGAACGGUCUUUAGAAUGGGGAGAUCUAAACACUAAAAUAAACUGUCCAUUGUAAAAUUGUCAUACUGUUGCAAGGAGAGGAUGUAAAAUUGUUUUCAUCAGAAUUUCACAAUCAAGAAAUAUGAAGACAAUACACAAAAAAGACACCCGUAGAUAAUAAAAUAUCAAUAUGUGUACGUCGUAGUGUUGCUCGUUGAUGUAUAUCGUUUUCGGGCGUUGGUGGUCUGUGACUGACACUGUCAUAUAUUUUUUGGUAAUCCCUCUUACCUUUUUUAUGAUACAUAUGUCUGUAGAUAACAUGUAGUAUACACAAAAUGUAGUAUCUAAAGUGUUGGUACUGACACAAAACACCGUAUGUGAAUUAAAAAACUUUAUAAAAGUACGCAACACCUAUCCAUGCUAUCGGUCGUCUUCUCUACAUUGUAAGUUGAAAGCUGUGGUUAUGAGUAAGACCCGUGUUGUGUCAGGAUCAAUUAGAGAUAUAGAGUCAUAGUAUAAAACAUAUCCCGAAAAACUAUUUUAAUUUUGAUAAUGAUUGUGUAAACAAAUGAGGCAUAAUAGUAUAUACUUUCAGGAAUCUUCGGAGUCACUUUUUGAAAUUGAAGACCGUUACAGUACAUUGUAUUAAUUUAAUAUAUUAUGCAGGUUUCUAGAUAAGUAACGAAUAAUGACUGUAAAAUAAUGUAAAGGUUACAUUGAGUAUCAGUAAAUAAGUGUAAAAAUUUUAUAAAACCAAAGCACAUAUAUUGAAUUCCCAUCCCGCUCUUACAUGUACUAGCCACCUUCAUGUUCGUCCUCCAUAGCGAUACUGAUUGUGAUAUAAAAAAGAAGAUGUGGUAUGAUUGCCAAUGAGACAAUUAUCCACAAAAGACCAAAAUGACACAGACAUUAACAACUAUAGGUCACCUUCAACAAUGAGCAAAGCCCAUACCGCAUAGUGAGCUAUAAAAGGCCCCGAUAAGACAAUGUUAAACAAUUCAAACGAGAAAACUAACGGCCGUGUUUAUGAAAAAAUGAACGAAAAACAAAUAUGUAACACAUAAACAAACGACAACCACUGAAUUACAGACUCUUGACUUGGGACAGGCACAUACAUAAAUAAUGUGGCGGGGUUAAACAUGUUAGAUGUUUACCGUCGCGUUCGAUGUAACGCCCGUUUAAUUCCAAAUUAGAGUUUGUUAAACUUUAUAAAGGAAAUACAAUUAAAAUUAUAUGCGUCAUGAAUUUUAGAUGCACACACAAUUUUAAUCAUGCUACCUACAUUUUACGAAUCCCCUUCCCUGCUCUUACAAACUACCUUCAUUUUUUUUCUCGCUCACCAUCGAGUUUUUUUUCAUUUCCAUUCCACUUGAAAAAUAUGACAAUAGCAAUAAGGGGAGUGAUGGACUCGACGGAUUAAGUCCAAAUAAGAUUUGUGCUAAACUUUAUUGAAAUACAUUUGAGCUGAGGAAAAAUACAGGAAAACGUAAUAUCAUUUUCACCUCAACAUGACAGUUUUAUUCAAUAAAAAUAUAUUUCUUCAUUCAAACCGUUAAUGUCUGUCUUAUGAAUGAAAGUAUAAAUAUGCGAGUUUGAAAAGACAUGGCUUUACCGUAUUAAAAAAAUCUUAGUCAUGUACUGCAAUACUUAUUUACUAAUGUUUUUGUGUUUAUUUAAUCUAAAUUUUCAACCAACACUCGAAUUUACGAGUUAACAUUGUAACAGUUUGUUUUACCAAACAACCCUAUUUCAUUUGAUGCUUGCUUUAAAUGAUAAAUGAAUUAUGAUAUAAAGUCUAAAACAUAAUAUCAAAUGUUCACUAUCAUCAUUAUAAUCAUACUCCAUAAAUAUCGAAAUAUCCCAAUUAAUUUGUAAUCUCAUAUAUCGUGUAAAUGAAAUGUAUUUUAUCUCCUUUGCGAUGACAUACAGAAAAGUAAAUCAAACUGUUGGUUGCAUAUAGAUUUAACCUUGACUAUGUUUCCAAGAAAUAUUAAUCAAUUGUGUAAUUUAAUUUGCAUUAAGAACCAGAAAAACAUUUAGAACAUUUAGGAUGAUUGAUAUUUCAUAUUUCAUUUCUCAUGUUUUUCUUUUACAGCUCUCCGGCCUCUGACCUUACCGGAAGACGUGAUGUGUUCAGCAGACGACAAUACGGUUCUGUAGAACAGUUAAA